ensembl:misc_RNA Metazoa_SRP Metazoan signal recognition particle RNA
GCCAGGCAUAGUGGUGUGUGCCUGUAAUCCCAGCUACUCAGGAGGCUGAGGUGGGAGAAUCACUUGAACCCGGGAGGCGGAGGUUGCAGUGAGCUGAGAUUGUGCCAUUGUUCUCCAGCCUGGGUGACAGAGUGAGAUUUCAUCUCAA